rnacentral:rRNA from 1 species
CCUACGGGAGGCAGCAGUAGGGAAUCUUCCACAAUGGACGAAAGUCUGAUGGAGCAACGCCGCGUGAGUGAAGAAGGUUUUCGGCUCGUAAAGCCCUGUUGGUAGUGAAGAAAGAUAGAGGUAGUAACUGGCCUUUAUUUGACGGUAAUUACUUAGAAAGUCACGGCUAACUACGUGCCAGCAGCCGCGGUAAUACGUAGGUGGCAAGCGUUGUCCGGAUUUAUUGGGCGUAAAGCGAGUGCAGGCGGUUCAAUAAGUCUGAUGUGAAAGCCUUCGGCUCAACCGGAGAAUUGCAUCAGAAACUGUUGAACUUGAGUGCAGAAGAGGAGAGUGGAACUCCAUGUGUAGCGGUGGAAUGCGUAGAUAUAUGGAAGAACACCAGUGGCGAAGGCGGCUCUCUGGUCUGCAACUGACGCUGAGGCUCGAAAGCAUGGGUAGCGAACAGGAUUAGAUACCCCAGUAGUC